rnacentral:rRNA from 1 species
UACAGAGGUGGCAAGCGUUGUUCGGAAUUACUGGGCGUAAAGGGCGCGUAGGCGGCCCACUAAGUCAGACGUGAAAUCCCCCGGCUUAACCUGGGAACUGCGUCUGAUACUGGAGGGCUUGAAUCCGGGAGAGGGAUGCGGAAUUCCAGGUGUAGCGGUGAAAUGCGUAGAUAUCUGGAGGAACACCGGUGGCGAAGGCGGCAUCCUGGACCGGCAUUGACGCUGAGGCGCGAAAGCUAGGGGAGCAAACAGG